GCGAGUUGGUAACCUGCCAUCUGUAGAGUAAAAAGUGCCAAGUUUACUAGGCUACUCACCGCUAGAUAGCGCUGUGUUUUUAUUAACUACAGCGCCAUCUUUUAUCCUCUAUCCUCUCUUUAGUAUCAGGCUACCUUACGUACAAGGUGGCGUUUUUAACUUCAGCAUUGUUCGUAGCGGAUCUAUAUUAUAUUCGUAUAGUUAGGUGAUAUACUGAUAUCGCAUGAGCUAAUGUGCUUAACCUCAACUUGUUAGCUGUCAAAUUCUAUACUUUUUUUUGUAAACAAUUAAUGCGAACAUAUUUUUUGGACAAAUACGAAAAUGACACAGUCCAGUGCUCUAAAUUGCAAGAAUAACGGUGUACAAAAGAUUGAAAUCGAAACCUAGGAAGAAUGCCUUAAGAAUUAAAAACUUUACAGCAAAAGGCACAUCUCGUUUAUGUUCAAUGCAUUUGAAGUCAGAUGAUUCGGACAAAGCAAAUAAAACACGAGUUACGAGUCAAAAGAGAUUUUUUUUAAAGAAAACUGCAUUAUCAUCAAUUUCACGUCAGCGGCUUGAAAGAAGGUGCCAGAGAAAGUUACCAUUUGAACAAAAUGUAACUCCAUCAACAAGCCAUGAAACUCUAACUCUGUCAACCCAUGAAACAAACAAUGAAGUCAAAAUGUUCGCAAACUCCAUGGAAAUAGGCAGUGAAACAGAAAUUCUAAAAUAAUAUCCUAGGUGUGUAAGGCAGUAUGAAUGCAGAGAGUAGCUAAACUCGAUAGGCAAGCAAAGAAAUGUCACAGUGGCAUGGGUACCGGGACAUCAGGGAGUAACUGGAAAUGAGAAGGCAGACGAGCAGGCUAGGAAAGGGAUGGAGACGGAAUUCAUUGGUCCGGAACCAGCUUUGCCUAUGUCAGCCGAUGUACAUCUACAAGGCAGUAUGAAAUUCUUCACUUAACUAUGUGGAGACAGAAGCUAUACUAAGUAAUAUUUUAUAAUGUAUGCAAAGAUUUAAGUAUAAUUUUUAGUAAUAUUUGUAACUUCAUGCAUGUUACAAAUAUUACACUACACUUAAGUAACUAAAUUCAGAUACUAUACAAAUCUAACUGGUUCCCCGCGAUACAGGUCUCACUUAGUGCGGGAGUCCCUGGUAAAU